ensembl:lncRNA
AGAAUUCUCCAGGAAAGAAUACAGGAGUGGGUUGCCAUGCUCUCCUCCAGGGGAUCUUCCCAACCCAGGGACUGAACCCAGGUCCUCCUGCAUUGCAGGUGGAUUCUUUACCAGCAAAGCUAUCAGGGAAGUCCAUUAAAGAAUCAUACUUUAGUUCUGACAACACGUUGCUGUCUAGUACAGAUGCUAAGAUGAGGGCUACUGCAAAAGGGACUAGACAGACACCAGAGGGAGCUCAAGUUACCGAACCCUUUUCUCAGGAGCAAAGGUGACAUCAGUUAGGGAAUAUGGAAUCUGCAUGUACAGCCUGCUAUAUUUAAAGUAGAUAACCAACACGGACUUACUGUAUAGUUAUGGAAUUGUCCUCAAGAUUAGGUAGCAUACUGGAUACAAGGGGAGUUUGGGGCAGAAUAGAUACUUGUAUAUGGAUGGCUCAGGCGCUUUUCUAUGAAACUAUGAAACCUGAAACUAUGACAACAUUGUUAAUUCCCUCG